UGGCGGCAAUAGCGCGGUGGUCCCACCUGAAUCCAUGCCGAACUCAGAAGUGAAACGCCGUAGCGCCGAUGGUAGUGUGGGGUCUCCCCAUGCGAGAUUAGGACACUGCCAGGUA
rnacentral:rRNA from 1 species